GAUGAACGCUGGCGGCGUGCCUAAUACAUGCAAGUCGAGCGAACAGACGAGGAGCUUGCUCCUCUGACGUUAGCGGCGGACGGGUGAGUAACACGUGGAUAACCUACCUAUAAGACUGGGAUAACUUCGGGAAACCGGAGCUAAUACCGGAUAACAUGUUGAACCGCAUGGUUCAACAGUGAAAGACGGUUUUGCUGUCACUUAUAGAUGGAUCCGCGCCGCAUUAGCUAGUUGGUAAGGUAACGGCUUACCAAGGCAACGAUGCGUAGCCGCCCUGAGAGGGUGAUCGGCCCCACUGGACCUGAGACACGGUCCAGCCUCCUACGGGAGGCAGCAGUAGGGAAUCUUCCGCAAUGGGCGAAAGCCUGACGGAGCAACGCCGCGUGAGUGAAGAAGGUCUUCGGAUCGUAAAACUCUGUUAUUAGGGAAGAACAAAUGUGUAAGUAACUAUGCACGUCUUGACGGUACCUAAUCAGAAAGCCACGGCUAACUACGU
rnacentral:rRNA from 1 species